rnacentral:rRNA from 1 species
AGGACGAACGCUGGCGGCGUGCUUAACACAUGCAAGUCGAACGAGGCCUUCGGGUCUAGUGGCGCACGGGUGCGUAACGCGUGGGAAUCUGCCCUUGGGUUCGGGAUAACAGUUGGAAACGACUGCUAAUACCGGAUGAUGACUUCGGUCCAAAGAUUUAUCGCCCAGGGAUGAGCCCGCGUAGGAUUAGCUAGUUGGUGAGGUAAAGGCUCACCAAGGCGACGAUCCUUAGCUGGUCUGAGAGGAUGAUCAGCCACACUGGGACUGAGACACGGCCCAGACUCCUACGGGAGGCAGCAGUGGGGAAUAUUGGACAAUGGGCGAAAGCCUGAUCCAGCAAUGCCGCGUGAGUGAUGAAGGCCUUAGGGUUGUAAAGCUCUUUUACCCGGGAUGAUAAUGACAGUACCGGGAGAAUAAGCCCCGGCUAACUCCGUGCCAGCAGCCGC